GCAGCCGUUUAGGAAAGCGCCCCUUCACCCGGUUGCAGCAGCUCCGUGGGUCGGGGUGAGAACGCACCCCUCUGCUGCACGUCGUUGGGGGAUGUUCCGAGGCCAGAGCAGGAGUCACGUGGGACCCCAACGCUGUGUCGCUGCGCAGAGCACCACGUGGCUGUCACCCCCGCGAGGUGCGGGGACAGAGCUCCGAGGGAGAGGAGGUGUCCCGGAGGGAGGAAACAGCAGGCGCUCACCCUCGGCUUGUUGACACGGUGCUUCCCAGCCCUGCAGGCUGAGGGGCUGCCCUGGUGAACGUGAGCACCCAGACUGGUUCCGGCUCUGAGCGGCAGCCCCCUCCUGGGAGGAAACGUCCUGGAAGGAAGGAAGGCAUGGGGCAGACCAGGAACCACACAGUGAUGGGGGCUCUCCAGGACAUCAGGCAGAGGGUCCCCCAUGGUGAGAUCCAGUGAGAUGACCUCCUCAAGAGCCCGGAGGUGCAGAGCGCACCUGGUGGGCCCGGGGUGGGGGCUGGCUAGAAAGGGCAGCAGGAGGGGUCUUCAUGGUGGCGGGCGGUCUGGACCCCUCACCCCUCGGCCGCGGUGGUGGCUGCAGGAGUCCACGCCCAAGGCCACGUGCCCCCAGGGCUGGUCUCCGGGCACUGAUCUUGGGUGAGACGUAAGCACCAGGAAAUCAUGUGGAGGGCACAGGGACCCUUUUGCUGCAGUUUCCUGGAACCUCUUACUGUUUCAAAGUCAAAAGCCUCAGCAGUCUCCCCCAGCUCAGUCUGGGAAGACCUGGGCAGUGAAAAGAAGGAGCCGUUGAAAUCCGGCGUCCACACUUGCCCUCGAGGGCAAAGAAGACCAAGACGUCAUACCUGUCACCGUGGGAGGGGACAUCUGCCCCACAAACUUGGUUUUACUAAGUGGCAGGAUUAAGCAUCUCCGCCCCCAUGGACACUGCGCUUCAGGGCCCCCAGUGGCUCCACCGAAAGGGACAGCAGGCCAGCGGACGGGACAGAAGCGGACGGGACAGGGCGGUUGGAACAGGGCGGUUGGACAGCCUCUGUGCCCGGGCCCUGAGUGCGGCGCCGACUCGGGCCAGGGCCAUCGGUGGGCUCAGCUGAAAGUUGGGAGCUGACGGUUCUCAACGAUGGUGGAGCGUCAUCCCGCAGGUGGCUCAGAGGUGACAGGGACCAGGAAAGGUGUGCUCUGCCCGUCACCCUUUCCCGCAUCUCUCAGUCUCCGCAUCCCCCGAGAGGGACACCGGGGCCUGAGGGGUCCCCUGCGGGGGAGAGCCGGGCUAACCUGCACAGAAAGGUUUUUCCACUAAGAACACAGAGUCAGCACCGAGUGAAGCGUCCGACCCGUGCCGCCCAGGCAGACCCUGGCUGGGACGUAGCUGAGGCUGGAGAGCGCACCGCCCCCAGUGCUCGGGUGAGGCCCCUGCCCCUGUUCGGGGGCCCCUCCUGGAGGCCUUACGUCCUGCUCACAGGCUGCACUGGGGAGCCAGGCACAGGCAGGCGGUGCCCACGGAGGCGGGGCCCGAGAAGUGCCAGCACCACCCCCAGCGUGUGGGCCUUGAUGGUGCCGAGCAAACCUGCCGCAGAGAUGUCCGGGGACAUUCACGUGUGGACUGGGCGUGGCGUGACUAAGGGGUUCUCGGUUCUGUCCGCGCAAUCGUGCGGGCUGUGUCUUCGUGUCUUAGUUUAGGGCAGCGCGGUGUGAGGUCCCUCAUGGAGUCACCUUUGGCCGAAACAGCAGAUGAAGCCAAUCAAGCACGCUCUCGUCACAUCAGAGCCACCGGCGUCUGUCCCUAGGUCAUCCUCUCUACCUUCCCGUGUGCGAGACUCUUCACGAUCUGAUAUUCUUUGUAACAUGCCACCAGGGAAUCCUCUUGUCUUUAUUUUAUUUAUUUGCUUAUCUUUUUGGCUAUGGCCGCACAGCAUGCAGAGUCUUAGUUCCCUGACCAAGGACUGAACCCACGGCCCCUGCAUUGGAAGCAUGGAGUCUUCAGCACUGGACUGCCAGGGAGGUCCUUCACCCUCUUGUCUUUAGUGGAGACCAUGAGCCCUUUGCCAGCUGCAAAGGACAGUGGGGAGUAGGGGCUGGCCCCGGCUAGGGUGCCUGCGGAAGGUGUGGGGCCCAGGGGGUUCCCCACCCCACCGCAGCCUGGUCAGGGUGCCUGCGGAAGGUGUGGGGCCCAGGGGGUUCCCCGCCCCACCGCAGCCUGGUCAGCAGAGUCCUUGCUGUCCGCUUUGCAUUUGGCCUUUGUACCCUCACAAGCCACAGCAGAACCUUUUGGAACAAGAUGGGGUGAAAAACUUUUUUUAACUUGGAAAGUAUCAAUUCACUAGUAAAAUUUUGUUUCUUUCAUGUGUGUGUAUGAAACCUCUUUCCAGCUUUAAGAGCCAGAGUUGUCUUCCUGGAUGGGUGUGUGCUCAUCUGCUU
ensembl:lncRNA